UUCAGUUCGCCCUCUAUGACCUUUGGGCCAAGUCAGUCGUUGAUUAUCAUAUCAUGGGCAAUCACUGCACAGAUGGAAUAGGCACAAGGGCUACAAAUCUGCCUUUUACAAUCCCUGAUGGGGUGUCCCCCCUUAAUUAUCUGGCUGUUAUUGUGCGUAUGACACUCCACAAACAGCCUGCCGUUUCAGUUGGGAUGAGGUGAAGAACUCCUACCGUGUAAAGUAGUACCCAGUUAUCAUUGUUAGGUUUAUUUUUUUUUUGCAGUGUUACGCUGUUCUUGGCUAACAUGUUUUCUUUUGCUCUGGUAUGUGCAGCUGAAAAGAGGGGUGCGCAGAAUAUGGCAUGCAAGGUUUACCUCAUAUGCUGUGACAAUAGUAGCGAGCAGCCGGUCAUCAAGUUAUACAGUGAAAUUUGAUACAGUUAAACCUUGUUAAUUCAUCUCUCGUUGAUUUAGAAAAUAAGAUAAUUUAAACUUGUCCUUUGGUCCCAGCAGGUGUGUGCAUUACUUAAUGCAAAGGAACUCUAGUUAAUUUCGAUUUAAGUGACCACAUAUCAGUUAAUUUGGGUGAUUCUUGGAGCUUGGCGAGCGCCGGAGUGCUGCAAAUGUACGAUGCAAGAGAGUGAAAAUGUUGUUAGCAUCGACCAAAACGAAGUGGUGGAGUCAGUAUCGCCAUAGUCAUCAGUGGAAAUCGUACAUGACUGACAGAACCCUUCGUGCCUAUUGGUGCUGCUAAAGCCUUUAUUCUUGCGUUUGCCACUGCGCAUAGUGCCACAUUGGCCACGUGCCUCCAUGACUGUGUAGUCACGAUCCACGAUUGCAUCAAUAGCGGCCACGGUUUCA
rnacentral:lncRNA from 1 species